GUUUUGGAGUACUUCAGCAAAUUUGUUAAACACCCAAGCAAACACCCACUGAGUCAAGAACAAUGCUUUGUGCAAACAAGUUGUGACAGUUUAGGUCUCUGCAGUCUCCCUUGCAUCAGUCAUUCUCCAGCUACUCCUUCAGAUCACAACAUUCCAUUUCUUUGUCUAUACUUGGCGAUGGGAGAACAUGUGCCAAUAGUGUAGCAGAACUUGAAUUUAAAGAUGAG